UACGAAGGGGUUAGCGUUGUUCGGAAUGACUGGGCGUAAAGCGCGCGUAGGCGGAUCAUCAAGUCGGGGGUGAAAUCCCGGGGCUCAACCCCGGAAUGGCCUUCGAGACUGGUGGUCUUGAGUUCGAGAGAGGUGAGUGGAAUUCCGAGUGUAGAGGUGAAAUUCGUAGAUAUUCGGAGGAACACCAGUGGCGAAGGCGGCUCACUGGCUCGACACUGACGCUGAGGUGCGAAAGCGUGGGGAGCAAACAGG
rnacentral:rRNA from 1 species